CGUCUAUAUACGUAUAGCAUAUCAAUAAGCGGAGGAAAAGAAACUAACUAGGAUUCCCUCAGUAACGGCGAGUGAAGCGGGAAGAGCUCAAAUUUGAAAUCUUCAAGGUUUUACCUUGACGAAUUGUAGUUUAAAGAAGUGUUUUCUGUUGGAAUUUUGGUAAAAGUUCUUUGGAAAUAGGACAUCAUAAGAGGGUGAGAAUCCCGCAUUUGACCAUUAUUUCCAGCCUUGUGAUACACCUUCAAAGAGUCGGAUUGUUUGGGAAUGCAGUCCAAAAUGGGUGGUAAAUUUCAUCUAAAGCUAAAUACUGGCGAGAGACCGAUAGCGAACAAGUACCGUGAGGGAAAGAUGAAAAGAACUUUGAAAAGAGAGUUAAACAGUACGUGAAAUUGUCAAAAGGGAAGCGUUUGACACCAGUGUUGUUUUCUCGAAAAUCAAUUAAAAAGAUGUGGAUUUUGUGUUGUAUUGACUUUAUCAGCUUUCUGCACUCUUUUCCUGUCUUUUUUAAUGCACUUUUCGUUUAACAAGUCAACAUCAAUUUCUUUUGUUGUAAAAGGGUCAUUGGAAGGUGGCUUUCUUUUCGGAGAAAGUGUUUAUAGCCUUUGACUUCUGCAAUCGGAGAGAUUGAGGUCUGCAGCGUAGAUCCUUCGGGGUUAGAUACAUUUGUGCUAAGUUAUAGCCUUUCAUAGACAACUUGUUGACUAUGAUCAGUCAUGUAGCUUACUCGCUUAUGUCAUUUUACCUACGCUUAGGAUGUUGACGAUCAGCUGAGCGCG
rnacentral:rRNA from 1 species